rnacentral:rRNA from 1 species
UAAUGNGCGCAGCCUGNAUGCANCGACGCCGCGNUGAGGGAUGACGGCCUUCGGGUUGUAAACCUCUUUNUUUAGGGAAGAAGCCAAAGUGACGGUACCUGCAGAAGAAGCGCCGGCUAACUACGUGCCANCAGCCGCGGUAAUACGUAGGGCGCAAGCGUUAUCCGGAAUUAUUGGGCGUAAAGAGCUCGUAGGCGGUUUGUCGCGUCUGCCGUGAAAGUCCGGGGCUCAACUCCGGAUCUGCGGUGGGUACNGNCAGACUAGAGUGAUGUAGGGGAGACUGNAAUUCCUGGUGUANCGGUGAAAUGCNCANAUAUCAGGAGGAACACCGAUGGCGAANGCAGGUCUCUGGGCAUUAACUGACGCUGAGGAGCGAAAGCAUGGGGAGCGAACAGGAUUANAUACCCUGGUAGUCCAUGCCGUAAACGUUGNGCACUAUGUGUGGGGGACAUUCCACGUUUUCCGCGCCGUAGCUAACGCAUUAAGUGNCCCGCCUGGGGAGUACGGCCGCAAGGNUAAAACUCANANGAAUUGACGGGGGCCCGCACAA